UUGAAGGCAUGCUCAUGUGGAGCUCGCCGCCUUUCUCUCACUCUGUUCCUUUUUUUCAUCUUCCUUAUUUUCCUUUUCUUUUCUCUUCUUUUCUUCUCAUAUUAUUUUUCUCUCUUUUUUUUCUUCCCUUCUCUUUUUUUAUUUUCUUUUUUUUUCAUCUCUCUUAUUUUAGUAGGGCAGAACUAACACCCUCUUUGGUAUGAGUAGAACGUGAAGUAAGGCGCUCACCAACUUCCCCCACUCUUGGACUUUUGUGUCUCAGGACACCAAGAGUCAAGUGUGCAUUGUCGAUGUCUCCUUUAGAGUGUGUUCCAACACCAAAGAGUACUGAGUGUACAGUUGAUGUAGCUCCCAUGUUUUCGUACAUGUCAUGACCCCCGUUCCUUUGAAUCUUAACCUGAAAUGGUUAGUGAGCAAAAAUACCUGAAGGUACACACUAUCCUAAAAACAUGUUCUUGCUUUUAUUGUUUAAAAGAAAAUUUUAUGCUAUAUUUUUUUCAUGAUAAUCCAGGCUAUCUUCCGGUACUGCUUUAUUUAUGGUCACAAGCUCGACCCUGAGGAAUAUUUACAUUAUAGCUACCAUUGGCGAUAUAUUUCCCAUCUUCACCACCAUUCAUUGUUUAUUUUAUUGAUUCUUUACCUAUAGGGUUAGUGCCACAACGCAUCCACGAAAUUUGCAAUGCUUACAAUAAACAAAAGCAUCUACAACCAACCUUCUAAACAUUUUGC
rnacentral:lncRNA from 1 species